rnacentral:rRNA from 1 species
GACGAACGCUGGCGGCGUGCCUAAUACAUGCAAGUUGAGCGCUGAAGGUUGGUACUUGUACCAACUGGAUGAGCAGCGAACGGGUGAGUAACGCGUGGGGAAUCUGCCUUUGAGCGGGGGACAACAUUUGGAAACGAAUGCUAAUACCGCAUAAAAACUUUAAACACAAGUUUUAAGUUUGAAAGAUGCAAUUGCAUCACUCAAAGAUGAUCCCGCGUUGUAUGAGCUAGUUGGUGAGGUAAAGGCCCACCAGGGCGAUGAUACAUAGCCGACCGGAGAGGGUGAUCGGCCGCAUUGGGACGGAGACACGGCCCAAACGCCUACGGGAGGCAGCAGUAGGGAAUCUUAGGCAAUGGACGAGAGUCUGACCGAACAACGCCGCGUGAGUGAAGAAGGUUUUCGGAUCGUAAAACUCUGUUGGUGGAGAAGAACGUUGGUGAGAGUGGAAAGCUCAUCAAGUGACGGUAACUACCCAGAAAGGGACGGCUAACUACGUG